GUCGCGGUGGCUGAGUGGUUAAGCGCUCGGCUAACAAACGUGAGGUUCUGGGUUAGAAUCUCCGUGAAGACA
rnacentral:tRNA from 1 species